AUAUUGUUUGAAUAAAUAUAUUGCUUUCAGAAAGCUACUUUACUGAAAUAUUAAAACAGGCAUGACAUUCACAUACCUCACAAAUGUUCAUGUAUGUGGAGGGCUGCUCUUCAAAGGGUUAGUUCACCAAAUAAUAAAAAUGGUCAUAAUUUACUCUCUCCAUGUUGUUCCAGACUCAUACAAACUCUGCUAAUUUUGGAACACAAAUGCAUAUAUUUAAUAUUCUCUUAAUUUUUGUCCUCCAUUGUUAGUCUGGGAGACCAAUAUUUUAUUUUGAACAUACAUGUUUGCUAUCAAAUAAUUUGAGUUUUAUUCAUAUAUAAAUAUCGGAAAGGAUUACUUCUGCAAAAACUCUGUAUUUAUUAGGCUUGAAACUACUGAUUAUCUAGACUAUAAAUGGAUUAACAAAAUUAUGAGAAAAUUAAAAAUAUAUUAAUUUGUGUUGUAAAGACAUACAGUAAGUCUUACAGGUUUGGAAUGACAUGAGGGCAAGUAAAUUAUUUUUUUGUGUGAACUAUUCCUUUAAGAGGGAAGAUCAAAAAUGAUGACCCUUCAAAUCAGUCUCCGCGAUCCGGCGGCGUUAUUCCCAUGACCCGCCGGGCAGCGUGCGGGAAACCACGAGUCUUUGGGUUCCGGGGGGAGUAUGGUUGCAAAGCUGAAACUUAAAGGAAUUGACGGAAGGGCACCACCAGGAGUGGAGCCUGCGGCUUAAUUUGACUCAACACGGGAAACCUCACCCGGCCCGGACACGGAAAGGAUUGACAGAUUGAUAGCUCUUUCUCGAUUCUGUGGGUGGUGGUGCAUGGCCGUUCUUAGUUGGUGGAGCGAUUUGUCUGGUUCAUUCCGAUAACGAACGAGACUCCGGCUUGUUAAAUAGUUACGCGGCCCCGUGCGGUCGGCGUUCAACUUCUUAGAGGGACAAGUGGCGUUCAGCCACGCGAGAUGGAGCAAUAACAGGUCUGUGAUGCCCUUAGAUGUCCGGGGCUGCACGCGCGCCACAAUGGGCGGAUCAGCGUGUGUCUACCCUGCGCCGAGAGGCGCGGGUAACCCGCUGAACCCCGCUCGUGAUCGGGACUGGGGAUUGAAACUAUUUCCCAUCAACGAGGAAUUCCCAGUAAGCGCGGGUCAUAAGCUCGCGUUGAUUAAGUCCCUGCCCUUUGUACACACCGCCCGUCGCUACUACCGAUUGGAUGGUUUAGUGAGGUCCUCGGAUCGGCCCCGCCGGGGCUCCUCGCGGGCCCUGGCGGAGCGCCGAGAAGACGAUCAAACUUGACUAUCGGGAGGAAGUAAAAGUCGUAACAAGGUUUCCGUAGGUGAACCUGCGGAAG
rnacentral:rRNA from 1 species